GACGAACGCUGGCGGCGUGCUUAACACAUGCAAGUCGAACGGAAAGGCCCUGCUUUUGUGGGGUGCUCGAGUGGCGAACGGGUGAGUAACACGUGAGUAGCCUGCCCUUGACUUUGGGAUAACUUCAGGAAACUGGGGCUAAUACCGGAUAGGAGCUCCUGCUGCAUGGUGGGGGUUGGAAAGUUUCGGCGGUUGGGGAUGGACUCGCGGCUUAUCAGCUUGUUGGUGGGGUAGUGGCUUACCAAGGCUUUGACGGGUAGCCGGCCUGAGAGGGUGACCGGCCACAUUGGGACUGAGAUACGGCCCAGACUCCUACGGGAGGCAGCAGUGGGGAAUAUUGCACAAUGGGCGGAAGCCUGAUGCAGCAACGCCGCGUGCGGGAUGACGGCCUUCGGGUUGUAAACCGCUUUCGCCUGUGACGAAGCGUGAGUGACGGUAAUGGGUAAAGAAGCACCGGCUAACUACGUGCCAGCAGCCGCGGUGAUACGUAGGGUGCGAGCGUUGUCCGGAUUUAUUGGGCGUAAAGGGCUCGUAGGUGGUUGAUCGCGUCGGAAGUGUAAUCUUGGGGCUUAACCCUGAGCGUGCUUUCGAUACGGGUUGACUUGAGGAAGGUAGGGGAGAAUGGAAUUCCUGGUGGAGCGGUGGAAUGCGCAGAUAUCAGGAGGAACACCAGUGGCGAAGGCGGUUCUCUGGGCCUUUCCUGACGCUGAGGAGCGAAAGCGUGGGGAGCGAACAGGCUUAGAUACCCUGGUAGUCCACGCUGUAAACGGUGGGUACUAGGUGUGGGGUCCAUUCCACGGGUUCCGUGCCGUAGCUAACGCUUUAAGUACCCCGCCUGGGGAGUACGGCCGCAAGGCUAAAACUCAAAGGAAUUGACGGGGCCCCGCACAAGCGGCGGAGCAUGCGGAUUAAUUCGAUGCAACGCGUAGAACCUUACCUGGGUUUGACAUGGAUCGGGAGUGCUCAGAGAUGGGUGUGCCUCUUUUGGGGUCGGUUCACAGGUGGUGCAUGGCUGUCGUCAGCUCGUGUCGUGAGAUGUUGGGUUAAGUCCCGCAACGAGCGCAACCCUUGUUCACUGUUGCCAGCACGUUAUGGUGGGGACUCAGUGGAGACCGCCGGGGUCAACUCGGAGGAAGGUGGGGAUGACGUCAAGUCAUCAUGCCCCUUAUGUCCAGGGCUUCACGCAUGCUACAAUGGCUGGCACAGAGAGUGGCGAGCCUGUGAGGGUGAGCGAAUCUCGGAAAGCCGGUCUCAGUUCGGAUUGGGGUCUGCAACUCGACCUCAUGAAGUCGGAGUCGCUAGUAAUCGCAGAUCAGCAACGCUGCGGUGAAUACGUUCCCGGG
rnacentral:rRNA from 1 species